AUUGCUUCUUGGCCUUUUGGCUAAGAUCAAGUGUAGUAUCUGUUCUUAUCAGUAUAUUAAAUCAAAUACUGGUGUUCUAAAUUUAUAGUGAAAACCUUUAAUAGAGUCAGACCUAUU
rnacentral:snRNA from 1 species